AUUGAACGCUGGCGGCAGGCUUAACACAUGCAAGUCGAGCGAGUGGCGGACGGGUGAGUAAUGCCUGGGAAACUGCCUGAUGGUGGGGGAUAACUACUGGAAACGGUCGCUAAUACCGCCUACUAUCCGAUUAGCCUAGUUUGGAUUAGCUAGUGGGUGGGGUAAUGGCUCACCAAGGGGACGAUCCCUAGCUGGUCUGAGAGGAUGACCAGCCACACGGGAACUGAGACACGGUCCAGACUCCUACGGGAGGCAGCAGUGGGGAAUAUUGGACAAGGGGCGAAAGCCUGAUGCAGCCAUGCCGCGUGGGGGAAGAAGGCCUUCGGUUUGUAAAGCACUUUCAGCGGGGAGGCGUUACCCGCAGAAGAAGCACCGGCUAACUCCGUGCCAGCAGCCGCGGUAAUAC
rnacentral:rRNA from 1 species